GCGCACCAGUCGAGAAACCUCCGCAAUGCACGCAAGUGCGACGGGGGAACCCCAAGUGCCACUCUUAACGGGGUGGCUUUUCAGAAGUGUAAAAAGCUUCUGGAAUAAGGGCUGGGCAAGACCGGUGCCAGCCGCCGCGGUAACACCGGCAGCUCAAGUGGUAGCCGCUUUUAUUGGGCCUAAAGCGUCCGUAGCCGGUCUGAUAAGUCUCUGGUGAAAUCCCACAGCUUAACUGUGGGAAUUGCUGGAGAUACUAUCAUGACUCGAGGUCGGGAGAGGCUGGAGGUACUCCCAGGGUAGGGGUGAAAUCCUGUAAUCCUGGGAGGACCACCUGUGGCGAAGGCGUCCAGCUGGAACGAACCUGACGGUGAGGGACGAAAGCCAGGGGCGCGAACCGGAUUAGAUACCCGGGUAGUCC
rnacentral:rRNA from 1 species